UUUAAAACCUCUAUCAGUGGUAGAGGAGCAUUGUAUAAGCGAAGAAGCAUAAGCGUAAGCAUAUGUGGAGCCUAUACAAGAGAGAAUGCUGGCAUGAGUAGCGAGAAGGGAUGUGAGAAUCAUCCCCGUCGAAACCCUAAGGAUUCCUGAGCAAGGCUCGUCCCCUCAGGGUAAGUCGGGACCUAAGGUAAGGCCGAAAGGCGUAGCCGAUGGACAACAGGCUUAAAUUCCUGUACCGCUUAAAGUCGCUAAGAGAUGUGAUGACGCAAGAGGAUCAACUAGCUAGCAGAUGGAAUUGCUAGUCUAAAAAGUAAGGCUGUUAUGUAGGCAAAUCCGCAUAACCAAAGGCUAAGCUUUGAUAGCCAUCGAAAACACAAGUAGAGAAGUAGAGAAAUUCAAAUUGCCAAGAAAAGUCACUAUCAAGACCAAAGCGCCCGUACCAAAACCGACACAGGUAGGGAGGUAGAGAAUACCAAGACGCGCGGAAGAACCUUUGUUAAGGAACUCGGCAAAAUGUCCCCGUAACUUCGGGAGAAGGGGAGCCAGAGCGAUCUGGCCACAGAAACCAGGCCCAAGCGACUGUUUACCAAAAACACAAGUUUCUGCAAAAUCGAAAGAUGAAGUAUAGGAGCUGACACCUGCCCGGUGCUGGAAGGUUAAGGGGAAGAGUUAGUCGUAAGACGAAGCUUAGAACUUAAGCCCCAGUAAACGGCGGCCGUAACUAUAACGGUCCUAAGGUAGCGAAAUUCCUUGUCGGGUAAGUUCCGACCCGCACGAAAGGUGUAACGAUUUGGGCACUGUCUCAACAAAGGAUCCGGUGAAAUUGUAGUAGUCGUGAAGAUGCGACUUACCCACGCUAGGACGGAAAGACCCCGUGGAGCUUUACUGUAGGCUGAUAUUGGACUUUGAGAUUAGACGUACAGGAUAGUUGGGAGACGAAGACACUUGAACGCCAGUUUAGGUUAAGUCAACCUUGGGAUACCAACCCUCUAAUAUUAAAGUUCUAACGAUAACCCUUGAAUCAGGGUAUCGGACAUUGUCAGUUGGGCAGUUUGACUGGGGCGGUCGCCUCCCAAAAAGUAACGGAGGCGUUCAAAGGUUCGCUCAGAAUGGACGGAAACCAUUCGAAGAGUACAAAGGCAGAAGCGAGCUUAACUGCAAAACCUACAAGUUGCGCAGAGUAGAAAUACGGACUUAGUGAUCCGGUGGUUCCGCAUGGAAGGGCCAUCGCUCAACGGAUAAAAGCUACCCCGGGGAUAACAGGCUUAUCUCCCCCAAGAGUCCACAUCGACGGGGAGGUUUGGCACCUCGAUGUCGGCUCGUCUCAUCCUGGGGCUGAAGUAGGUCCCAAGGGUUGGGCUGUUCGCCCAUUAAAGAGGCACGCGAGCUGGGUUCAGAACGUCGUGAGACAGUUCGGUCCCUAUCCAGCGUGGGCGUAAGAAAUUUGAGAGGAUCUGUCCUUAGUACGAGAGGACCGGGAUGGACACACCGCUGGUGUACCAGUUGUUCCGCCAGGAGCAUAGCUGGGUAGCUACGUGUGGAAUUGAUAAGUACUGAAAGCAUCUAAGUACGAAGCAGGCCUCAAGAUAAGAUUUCUAAGAGUAGGUAAAGAAAAUACCUUUGAUAGGUCCAAGGUGUAAGUGCAGUAAUGUAUUAAGCUAAUGGAUACUAAACUUU
rnacentral:rRNA from 1 species